AUGAAGAAAGAGAUGUUCAUAGAUGACAGCAACAGCUGGGUGGCGCCACUUCCACUCAAGGGACCUCGCCAGCGGCUGCCCAACAAUCACGACCAGGCGGUCAAACGCUUAUCCUCUCUUCAUCGCACCCUUGAAAAAAGGCUUGAAAUGAAGAGGCAUUUCUUUGCCUUCAUGCAGAACAUAUUUGAUCGUGACCAUGCUGAACUGGCUCCUCCACUUGAGGUGGACAAGGAGUGCUGGUACUUACCUACGUUUGGGGUGUACCAUCCUCAGAAGCUGGGUCAGAUCAGAGUUGUGUUCGACUCAAGUGCAAAGUGCCAUGGCGUCUCUCUCAAUGAUGUUCUCCUCUCUGGACCUGACCUCAAUAAUAGCUUGUUGGGAGUAUUGUUGUUGCCAUCAUUAAUUGUUGUAUUGUUGUUCAGACGUGAAACUGUUCCAGUAACCGCUGACAUUGAACAGAUGUUUCACAGUUUCAUUUUAAGAGAGGACCAUCGAAACUAUUUGCGCUUCCUCUGGCAUGAAGACAACAAUCCUGCCAAUGACAUCUGUGAGUAUCAAAUGAAGGUUCACGUGUUUGGCAACAGUCCCUCACUAUCCGUAGCUAUAUACAGCCUUCGACGUGCAGCAGCUCAGGGUGAAGAGGAAUACGGAUCAGAUGCACGACGCUUUGUUGAGAGGGAGUUCUACGUUGAUGAUGCGCUUGUGUCAAGGCCCACAGCCAGUGAAGCUAUUGAUCUAAUGAAGAGAGCACAGGAAAUGCUUGCCACAUCUAACCUUCGCCUGCAUAAAAUAGCAUCAAACAGCUCUGAGGUUCUUGAUGCGUUUUCUCCAGAUGACUGUGCAAAGGGGCUUAAGGAGCUAAAUCUGGAGACUGAUGUGACACCUACACAGCGAAGUCUUGGUCUGAUAUGGGACCUAAAGAAAGACGCCUUUACCUUUCAAGUAGCAGAGACAGUGAAGCCCUUUACAAAGAGAGGUGCCUUAGCUACAAUCAAUGGUCUUUUCGAUCCGUUAGGAUUUGCUUCACCGGUUACAAUCCAGGGAAAGAUACUGCUGAGAGAACUUUCAAGUGAGGCCCUAGACUGGGACACUCCACUGCCUGGAGAAAGGGAGGCCGAGUGGGAUACAUGGAAAGAAUCUCUUGUCAAUCUCAAGAAUGUACAUAUUCCAAGAACCUACGCUUCUGCUACAAUGUGA
rnacentral:lncRNA from 1 species